rnacentral:rRNA from 1 species
GACGAACGCUGGCGGCGUGCUUAACACAUGCAAGCCGAACGGGCUAUAGCAAUAUAGCUAGUGGCGAACGGGUGAGUAACACGUGACCAAUCUGCCUCGGACUGGGGGAUAACGGCGGGAAACUGCCGCUAAUACCGCAUGUUGAGACGGGCUCGCAUGGGCUUGUCUUGAAAGAUUUAUCGGUCCGAGAUGAGGUCGCGCCCCAUUAGCUUGUUGGCGAGGUAACGGCUCACCAAGGCGACGAUGGGUAGCUGGUCUGAGAGGAUGAUCAGCCACACUGGGACUGAGAUACGGCCCAGACUCCUAUGGGAGGCAGCAGUGAGGAAUAUUGCGCAAUGGGCGAAAGCCUGACGCAGCAACGCCGCGUGAGGGAUGAAGGUGCUUUGCAUUGUAAACCUCUGUAGGGAGGGACGAACAGAUCGGUUUUGCCGAUCCUGACGGUACCUCCAAAGUAAGCACCGGCUAACUCCGUGCCAGCAGCCGCGGUAAUACGGAGGGUG